GCCUGAGUAGCUCAGUUGGUUGAGCGUCCGACUUUGGCUCAGGUCAUGAUCUUGCAGCUUGUGGGUUCACGCCCCACAUUGGGCU
rnacentral:tRNA from 1 species